rnacentral:rRNA from 1 species
UCCUACGGGAGGCAGCAGAGAGGAAUAUUGGUCAAUGGACGUAAGUCUGAACCAGCCAGGUAGCGUGCAGGAUUGACGGCCCUAUGGGUUGUAAACUGCUUUUGUUGGGGAGUAAAGCGGGGCACGUGUGCCCCUUUGCAUUUACCUUUCGAAUAAGGACCGGCUAAUUCCGUGCCAGCAGCCGCGGUAAUACGGAAGGUCCAGGCGUUAUCCGGGUUUAUUGGGUUUAAAGGGAGUGUAGGCGGUCUGUUAAGCGUGUUGUGAAAUUUAGGUGCUCAACAUCUAACUUGCAGCGCGAACUGGCGGACUUGAGUGCACGCAACGUAUGCGGAAUUCAUGGUGUAGCGGUGAAAUGCUUAGAUAUCAUGACGAACUCCGAUUGCGAAGGCAGCGUACGGGAGUGUUACUGACGCUUAAGCUCGAAGGUGCGGGUAUCGAACAGGAUUAGAUACCCUGGUAGUCCGCACGGUAAACGAUGGAUGCCCGCUGUUAGCGCCUGGCGUUAGCGGCUAAGCGAAAGCAUUAAGCAUCCCACCUGGGGAGUACGCCGGCAACGGUGAAACUCAAAUGAAUUGACGGA